GGGAUGUUGUUAUGCACUGGAUUUUAUAGAAAGGUUUGGUGGUGAGCCAAACCUUUU
rnacentral:ncRNA from 18 species